UCCGUUCCCAGACCUGCACCCCCUCGAUUCCGUCCCUAAUCCACCACCCCCUCGAUCGGCGGCUACCCUCCCCGAAUGAGGCCACCACCGUCGCCUCCCUCCCAAAUCGCGCCACCACCGCCGCCCCGCCCCACGACGCGCAGCACCCGGCCUCCCAGCGAGCCGCCGCCCCGCCCCCCGGCGCACCGCCUCCGUUCCUCCCACCGUGCUGCCGCCUUGCCCCAUGGCGCCCAGCCGCUCCGCCCUCCACCGCCUGAUCUCCGCCGCCCACCGGACCUGACAAGAGGCUCCACCCUUGGCCACGGAUAGGGGCUGCGGCCUUCUCGGGGCGCCGCCGUGACCUUCCCAGAGGGGCCACCACGACCUUCCCCAGCUCUGCCCUCCGCUACGGCUGCCGUCGGCGGCCUUCUAUCCAUGCUGGAGCUGCCCCCCGCCUGGAUCCGGCCUCGCACAGCCCCCUCGCCUGGAUUUGGUCCCGGCGCCGCCCCACUCCUGGGUCCGGCUGCCGUGCCAACCCCGCACCUGGGUCUGGCCGCCGCAGUGCACUCGCCCCACUCCUAGGUCCGACAGCCGCGCCGCCCCCGCGCCUGGGUCCAACCAUCAGCACCCCCACCCCUUGGCACACAAGCGCCGACAUCUACCCCAAUCCCCAAGCACACCGCCCAAAGGGCCCAUGCCCCAUCCCCCGACACUAUCCUGCCUCGCUGGCGCACCAUGGACGUCUUCCUCUUCUGCCUAGAACUUCUUCAUCCUUGGUGCUUGCGUGCACAUGACAGCCACAUGUGGUGUGAGGAGAAGCCAAGCUAAAAGAAGAACACACUUUCUUAGACGUGUGUGCACGCAAGACAGGCACAGAGAAGUUCGGAGCCGCCGACCCCAACAGCGGAACAACAGCUAUGAUCGAGUAAUCCUGACCGCUCCUUCUGAAUAACGGAGUUGACUUAUCAGCAGAAAGUCUUGAACAAUAUGACCAUCUCUGCUUCUGAAAACGUUGUUAACUUCACUCCCCAUCCAUCUAGUUAGCGCAAAGGUUUUCUCUGCUGCAAGAGCAAGGAUGGAGGCCUCGAAGGACCAUCAUUUUCUGUAGCUGGGAUGCGGAAGAGUACGGAUUGACAGGAUCAACUGAAUGGGUUGAAGAAAACAGGUUGCAUAUCUGAAUAUUGAUGUUUCAGAGUCGGUCCAGUUUUACUCCCAUAUACAACUCCCCAACUUGAUGAACUACUACUGGAAUCAAUUAAACUGGAAAGAGUACUAACUGAUAGUCAGUUAUUUGGUUUUGGUCAUACAAAAGAGUAGCUGUUGAGUGGUCAACACUCUACAGUGGGUGCGUCAACUUUGAACCACCUGUCUCUGACAAUAUCAUGCUUAUGCUAUUUUUCUUAUUAAUAACAAGAUGGUCAAAAAGUCAAAACAUUCUCUUUUUUCAAUUCAUGAAGGUUCAAGACCCCGACAAUUCAUCUCAGACGGCUUAUGAUUCAUGGGUUAAAUCCAAUGCUUCUCCCAACUUGAGUUGUAAAAUGACUUCCUUAUACAGUUAGCACACUGUUAUCAAUUGCGAUAUAUAGUACUGAUUGCUGUCAAACUCUGGGUUCCUUUGUGCGUAAAAUGAAGCCUGCAGCUUCAGGGUUUCAUGUCUGAAUCUUCAUUUCUAAAUUUCAGCUCCAACUCUGAAAAUGUUCCUAGCUAUUUACUGUAGUUAACAUAUAUUGUCUCUGAUAUCCUGCAUGAAGAUUCAAUGACUGGGCAAUGGAGGAUCAGACUAUGCAGCAUUCGUUCAACAUGUUGGCAUUCCAUCCACCAACUUGAUAUUUGGAGAAGGGCCAAGAUAUCUUGUUUACCACUCUUUAUACGAUGAUUUUGUAAGGGUGGAGAAGUUCGCGGACCCUGGGUUCUGUAGGCAUGUCGCAGCUGCUAGCCGCUGCAGCAUCAACGACAACAGCGCGGCGCUCCUGGUGCUCCUCUCCCUCUACUGCCUUGCAUGCUACAAUUCCACCGCCUCCUCACUGUACAGAAAAUUUGAGUGAGGAAAAAUUCCAGCUCAUGAACGAACAUGAAGAAGUUCUAAUGUGAUGGUGCUAUUCCCUGUAGUUAUUUGUUUCUCGUGAUUGCAUUUGGUUGUGGCUGAUGGAUCUCUAUCUUAAUAUAUUAUUUGCUUUAUUCUA